ACUUUGAUUAUGGCUCAGGAUGAACGCUAGCUACAGGCUUAACACAUGCAAGUCGCGGGGCAGCAUGUCGGUUGCUUGCAACCGAUGAUGGCGACCGGCGCACGGGUGAGUAACGCGUAUCCAACCUUCCCGCGGCCCGGGGAUAGCCCGGUGAAAACCGGAUUAAUACCCGAUGUUGUCCCAUGAGGUCAUCCGAGUGGGACGAAAGGAUUUGGCGGCAGCGGAUGGGGAUGCGUCCGAUUAGCUUGUUGGCGGGGUAACGGCCCACCAGGCUACGAUCGGUAGGGGUUCUGAGAGGAAGGUCCCCCACACUGGAACUGAGACACGGUCCAGACUCCUACGGGAGGCAGCAGUGAGGAAUAUUGGUCAAUGGGCGUAAGCCUGAACCAGCCAAGUAGCGUGCAGGACGACGGCCCUACGGGUUGUAAACUGCUUUUGUCCGGGAAUAACGUGCCCUACGUGUAGGGCAUUGCAUGUACCGGACGAAUAAGGACCGGCUAAUUCCGUGCCAGCAGCCGCGGUAAUACGGAAGGUCCGGGCGUUAUCCGGAUUUAUUGGGUUUAAAGGGAGCGUAGGCCGCAUGUCAAGCGUGCUGUGAAAGCCCGGGGCUCAACCCCGGUUUGCGGCGCGAACUGGCGUGCUUGAGUCCGCGGAGAGCAGGCGGAAUUCGUCGUGUAGCGGUGAAAUGCUUAGAUAUGACGAGGAACCCCGAUUGCGAAGGCAGCUUGCUGCAGCGGCACUGACGCUGAUGCUCGAAAGCGCGGGUAUCGAACAGGAUUAGAUACCCUGGUAGUCCGCGCGGUAAACGAUGGAUGCCCGCUGUGUGCCCUUGCGGUACGCGGCCAAGCGAAAGCGUUAAGCAUCCCACCUGGGGAGUACGCCGGCAACGGUGCAACUCAAAUGAAUUGACGGA
rnacentral:rRNA from 1 species